GAAAAGAGAGAAAGGAAAAGCAAGAAAGAUAGAGAGAGCUUGGAUUCGGUUGAACAAAAGGAAGAGAAGGAGAAAAAAACUUUGAUUGUUAUCAUCUAGCCAAUAUCAAGAAGAAGAAUAAGAGCAAGAAAAGUAAGACCCCUAACUACUUCUUUCUUUUCAUUUUUCUUUUAAAAGAUUUAUAGCUUGAUGAGAAGUGUUUUGUUAGUGGAUGUGUUUUUAAUGAAAGAUCAUGAAAGGAUCUUGGAGUGAUAAGGAUAUAUAUAAUAUGUUAAACUACUUGUUAAAUUGCAUGAAAAGUGGAACCAAAAAUAAAAAUACAAACAUAUGCGUAAAGGAAUGAAAGAACGGACUAAUAGUGGACUAGGGACUCAUGUUUUGGAACGGUUUUUGUGUAGGUUUCCAAAUGAAAAAAAUUAAAUUCUAGGGUGUUUUGUUAUGCUCCUAGGAGUUACGAACACCGCCCAAUUGGAACAGAAGAUAAAACUUGUGUAACGAAGUCAUGGCGAAUUAUUUUGUAAAACUAGUAAUUAAAAGCUAAAAAUAACUAGUGUGAACCCUGACUUUCGAACAAAUUUUUGUUCCGAUUAACUGGCUGGAAAUUUUUUCUAUUUUGGGGGUUAUGUAAUACGUUAAAUAAGUGGUCCAUAGAUGUAAGAAUGACCUCAUUCCAAGUCCGGAGGUGGGAGUUAUGCCCUUCGAAAAGAGACUAGUCAAAUUUGCCAAAAAACAGAAAGUUAGUCGCCAAGAGAUUUUUGGGAACACUAUUUUGGCCUGAAUAUGGGUCUUGAAAAAAUUUUACCUGAGGAAAUUUGUAGUAGAUGUUAUAAGGAAGAAAAUGACGCAAGAACAGACUAAUUUCGACUUAUAACGACUAAGUUAUGAGGGUCGGAAGGAGGGGGUCAGAACAGUCAAUUAAAGACGUGUUGUGCAAAGCAGCGCAACGUGGUGCAUGUCGAAGCAUGUUGAAGGACGCUAAGCGACGUAGUGCACAUCAAGGCGUGUUGGGCGACGUUGAGUGGCGUCGUGUGUGUCGGGCGUGUCACAACCAUGUAGACGUGCUGUGUCGCAACGACAUAUAAGAUUUUUGACAAUUGUUCUAAAAUAUCCCAACUUGAAAAUAAAAAUAAUAAAAAUAAAAAUAAUAAAUAUUAUAAAAUAAAUAUUAAUGGAUAUAAACAAUCAUGAGGAGUCAUUAAGAGGGUUGUUGUGUUCCCGAACGCUGCAAUGUCGUAAGACAUUUUUAAAGAAAAUUGUAGCGCUAAUUAAAUUAUAAAAUGCGAACAAUAUAAAGUGAGUAAUAAUGCGAUGUAAACCAAUAUGUGGAGUUUUUAUGUGACUAAUUGGCAUAUUAUUGUUAAUUAAAUGUGUAGGAUAAGUGAAGAGCGUUUUUAAAGUAAUUAAUAAAGAACGCUUCAGGCAAAUAUUCUUAAACUCUUUUAUGAGUUUUAUUUCCACAAAUUAUAUUAUCGUGUGAGCUUUUCAGAUUCGAUUAAAAAUUAAAUUGUAUUAAAAUAUUAAUUUACACAAUAUUUAUCUAUUGUGUGAAAUCUAAACUUAUGCAAUAGAUUUUAUAAUUGCACAAGUUAUCCAGUGUACUAAAAUUUCAUUCUAAUUUAAAGAUUUAAAGCUCGAUAUUUUAUGAAUUAUUAUAAAAUAAAUACCUUGUUGUUUUGGCUAGACACAUGUUAAGGUAUGCUAUGAAUUUGUUAAAUUCUUAAAUGACAUCUAUACCAAAUUAAAUUGGUAAGGACUAACUCAAGUCUGAGAUGAACAACCCUAUUAUUAGAGAAAUUUUUUGUUCGAAUUUUGACUGGCCUUUACGGUGUAAAUGUAAACCUAAAUAGUCUUUUAAAAGAAAUAGGUUGUGCACAACAUAAGUACAAUAGGCUAAUCCCCUAACGUACUUAGAAAAUGACGGUUACAAAUGAAUUUCUAUUAAACCUUUUAUGAAAAAAAAUAUUUAAGGUCUUUUGGUCGCUCAGUAUAUAGUUUCAAGAAUGUUAAAUAAAAAGUGAAUUUAUUAUUAUUAUUCCUAUUUAUUUCAGAUAGUUUCACAACUAUUGUUCAGUUAUUGAAAUGAAAAUAUGAUUCUUGAUUUUGUUGUUAUUCAACUGUUAUAUUUGUUGAGCUUGUUAGCUCAUUCUUGCUUUAUAUAAAAAUAUUUUUAACUAAGCUCAAUGGGUCGAAAGUUAGGGUAAGAAAGACAAAAGAAAAGGAAAAGUUUCUGAAUAAAAGAUUAUGUAAUAGUUUAUGUUAUGAACAUUAUUUAUUAAGUACACUGAUGUAAUAAUUAUUAUAUUAUGAUACUUCCAAACUUGUAAAGGUCUUAGAACCUAGGAAGUUAGAUUAAUAUAGUUUGUAAUAAUUUAGUAAUUAUCUUUCUGUUUUUAUGAUUAUGCCUAGUGGAUAGUACUGUGAUGCACUAUUGUUGGGUUUAAAGGUACUCAGAUUUGGGGGCGUCAUAAAUUCAGUCAUAAUAAUGUUUUAUAUGUUUGUCUUGGCUUCAUAGAAAAGGACCAUCAAAAUCAACCUAAGAUUUUUUUUCUCGAUUGAAUUUUGCAUCCGCAGUUAAUACUGUGGAGUCUGGAAAGCUUAAAAUUUUUGAAUUUGACAUUCGCUGUUUAAUAUAACGAAGUUCGAAAAACUUAAAAAAAUGAAUUUAGAGGGGUAUUUUGGAUAAUUUUCUCGUUUGCAGAAUUAAACUGCGGUAUUCCCCAUAUUAAACUGCAGACGGGAGAUCAAUUUUAUCAUUCGAUAAAUUACUGAGAUCUGUUGUAAGGAUAACAUUAUUCUUAUAACGUUAACAUUAGAUAUUGUGGGCCCAAGUGUAAAAUUAGGGUUCAAAUGACCUAAUUGAAUUAAAUGUACAAUUAGGGUUCCACGAUCUCAUUAAAUGUGCAAAUUAGGGUUCGCAUAACCUAAUGAAAUAAAGACAGAAAAGACAAAAAUAAAUGUGCUAGACCCGGGAAAGCCUCCACGUGUUCCAAGGCAGAAGACUUGUGGACGCAACCCGUAUUGGGAAUUGAUUGAGGGAUUGGAUUGGCGGCUAGAAGGACAGGGCAAUUUGGGCAUUACUUUGAUGUGUUUUUGGAAGUUCCCCUUAAAGACACGACUAAGGGUAUUUCGGGAAUUUCUCUUAAAACAUGUGCCUGACAUGUGACUGCUUCCCAGGAAAGCUCUAUAAAUAGCCUUCUAUCCUAAGAAGGAAGGGGACUUUUGGCCAAACAUUACACUUGGACUCUUGGAAGCUCUGAGCACUUGGAAUUCUCUCCCAACUCGAAGACUCAAGAAGGCUCUUGGAAUCCCUGCUACCCUAACUCGGUUUGCGAAUUCUGAGAGUUCUGCCACAUGUCAUUGGAGUAAUCGCCCACCUGUCGUUCUCCCCUCUUCAAUCAAUUAGUCAAUUUCUUAUUCUUCGUGGAUUUCUCGCCUCUCCAGCCAACACGAAACCCUAACCCUAGAAAGGCAUGAUUUCCUUGCCCACAUCUUUUUGGAAACUCUGCUGGGGAGGUGUAGAAUUCGUGAAGGGUAUGCCCACAACUCGAAGUGGGAGAACUACAGGAAGAGUUGCUUCACCAACAAAUAGCAUUACCUCACCGGAUCCAGUUCCAAGGCAAGCCACUCAAGCUUUCCAAGUUGCAAACCUGGAUUUUGACCAACCACUUGUUGAAGACGCUUCAGAAGGAAGUUCAACGUCACCACAUAUGGCCAAUCAACAAUAAACCAACGCAGGAAGGCAAGGCGAGGAUGCAGGUGGAGACCAGACAAAUGUUGUGCAACUAGAGAUGAUCAAGGCAUUGAAGGAAGCACCAGAAGGGCAAGGGAUGAUGAUGGCCAUGAUACUGGAGAUGCAGAGGAAGCAAGAGGAGAUGGGGAACUUUCAUCAGCAGUUGAUGCAGAUCCCUACCUUCAAGGCCAUGUUCCCAGGAAGUUAGCAGGGAGAACAAGCAGGAGUAGAUGAAAAUAACAAUGGCAACAACAACAAAGAAAACCAGAUUGUACCUCCAUUGACGGAAAGUCAAUCGGUUCCAAUAAUCAACCUGGAGCCCCAGAAUAGUGGUGAUGUGCCACAACCUAGGUUGGAAGCAAGCCAACCUCAGACACAUAUCAUCCCAACCACUCUUCCAGCAUUCUCACAAGUGCAAAUGCCAAUCAUUCCAAGCCAUGUUCCGAGAGUGAGCCAGCAACUACCACAAGUACCAGCUUUACACAAUGCAAGUGUGCAUCAACCAUACACACCGCCGGUAAAGCAGUAUAUCACAACACCCUAGAGAGUUCAUGCCAUGAGCCAGUACAUGACGAAGGAUGAUAUGAUCGAUGUGAUCAAACAACUUCGCAGGCAGACAUCCCGACCCUCGGAGUUAGACUUUACUCCACCUUACCCGACACACAUUCGGAGGUAACCUUACCCGACAGGGUAUAUUGAGCAUCCCCCACAAUUUCCAAAAUACAAUGGGGAAAAAGGAAAUGCUAGGGAACAUAUUGCCAGGUUCGUAGAGUCGAUGUCUCCGUGGCUAGGAUAUGACGAAGUGAACAACCACAACUUGUUGAUGCGGGAAUUCAACAAGACUUUGACGGAUAGUGCCUUUAGCUGGUACUACAAUUUGGAGAAGGGGUCGAUCCAUGAUUGGGACGACCUAAAAUUAUAAUUUUUUAAGAAAUUUUUCUAUGUGCAGAAACAGGUAACCAUUGUAGAGCUUAUGCGGUUCAAGCAGAAGCCGAAUGAGGAGUUGUUAGAAUACAUUGACAGGUUCAGGGCCUAGGCACAGAAGUGUUCAGAGCCGAUUAAAGAAAAGAACUUAGUCAGCAUUUGCAACAAUGGUGCCUUAGAUACCUACAAGCCCCACCUCAUCACCAAGGCUUGUGAUUCUUUUGCGACACUUUCGUCUUUUGCACAAGACUUGGGAGGAAUCAUGACAUUGCCCACUAGCCAUGCGACGGUUUCAUGGAAGGGCAAGAGGACAGCAAUUGUGGCUUUGGCUGACUCUCAGUCAAAACCACAAGGAGGCAAGAGGAAGAAGCAUGUGAAGAAUUUUGACCGAACUAGAGGAAGGCCUGGAGAUAAAUAUGCAGGAAAGCCAGUCCCAGAAGCUAUCACAUGCAGUGAGAAAGCAUUCAGAGGUCUGUAUGAGCAAUGGGUUGAACAUGGGGUGGUGAAACCCCCAAGGCCUAGAUUUGUAGUGACGGAAGAGAUGAAGAGAAGACCAGACUUCUGUGUAUUCCACCAAUACGCGGGACACUCAACUAUGGAUUGUUAUAGCUUGCGGAGGAUAUUCCACAAAAAGCUGGCAAAUGGGGAGAUUGAACUUGGAAAGGAAAGUAGCGUUCACGACAAGUCAUUGCCAAAUCACAAGGGGAAAGAAACGUGCAACACUGUUAUUCACAGCAUAAUCCCAUAAGUGGAGAUGAUGAUGGAAGAGAAGGAGGAGUGUGACCCAGGCCUGCAGGUUACGGCGUUGAUGAAUGAGGCCAAAUUCAAAAAAAAAAUCGAUCAGAUAGGAUUGGCCAAGGAAACAAGGAUUGAGGCAACUAGGGCAAUUAUCAAGGCUGCCGAGACGCAGGAGACUUGCAUGGCCAUAAGCAAAGGAUUUGUGAAGACGAUGGAGGAAGAAGAAAAUAAGAUAUCUUUCUCUAAGGCUGAUAGAGAAAUAAGAUACCCGCACAACAGGCCGUUGUAUGUGAUAGCAGUAAUCAAUGGCAUCGAGGUGCGGAGGGCAUUCAUUGACAAUGGAGCGUCUGUAAAUAUUAUGCCCUAUACCAUGUUUAAAUGGUUAGGCCAGCCAGCGAAGAGGAUUGUAAAGGAACAAACAAACAUUACAGGAUUCGCCAACCAGAGUACAAGAACCUUGGGGCACAUCAAAGUGGACAUGCAAGUUGGGAAGAUUCGAGGGCCUGUAAUGUUCCAUGUUGCCGAGGUGGAUGUAGCAUAUCAUGUCUUGCUAGGAAGGGCUUGACAAAAUGACUAUGGGGUGGUUCCCUUGGUCUUUCAUCAGUGCAUGAAGGCUAUCUAAAAAGGAAAAGAAGUGAAGGUACCAGCAACUCGAAAUCCCUUUGGACCAGAGGAGGCACACAUCACCGAAGCAACUUUCUUCGAUGAUGUCGCUGAAGAGGGAGAGAACCAGAUUGCAAGGUCUGAUUCCCUAAGACUAGCAAGCUGGAAGGAAGUGCAGGAAGAUAGGUUCAUGCCUGCAAAAAAAGAGAAGAAGAAAACCUCGGAACAUGGAGAAUGAUCCAAGAACAAGAAGCCAGUAGUAGUAGACCUAGAGAAAGAAGGAAGAAAAGAAAAGAAAAGGCCAGCAGACCCUGAAGAUGCCAGAAAUAUAAUAAAUGUCAAGCGGAUGACCCAAUCUGAGGAUGGCCAAAAGACAAAAUGGGAGAGGGUUGUUAAACCCGACGAAAAGGUGGUGUCUCCAUUUAUGACGGUGCAAGGGGGAAGAGCCCAAGGAAGCAUGCGAACCCAAUGGCUCAGGAGAGGUCCCCCACUCCAGCAAUAAUGAAGAAAGAGGAGUUGUACAGCAAAAGGUAGAACCAGCUCCAGAAUGCUUCGAGGAUAGGCCAAAGCCUCAACAAAACGAAUUAGAGGAAGUUGAUUUGGCAACAGAAGGAGAAACGCCAAGACCGACUUAUGUCAACAAGGAGCUGGAUGCUAACUAGAAAGAGGAGUUGGUACAAUUAUUGUGAGAGUAUAGGGAUGUCUUUGCUUGGAAUUGUGACGAGAUGUCCGGAAUUGACAAGGAUCUUGUGGAGCACAAUCUAAACAUAAGCCUAGGAAUGAAGCCAGUGAAGCAAGCACCUCACAACUAUGUACCCGAAGUCGAAACUCAAAUAAAGGAAGAGAUCAAGAAGUUGCUGAAAGUAGGGUUCAUCAAGCCAAUUCAACAUCCAAUAUGGCUAUCCAGCAUUGUAUCGGUAAAGAAAUCAAAUGGACAGCUGCGAAUAUGUGUGGAUUUCAGAGACUUGAACAAGGCAUGCCCAAAGGACAUGUAUCCAUUACCCAACAUAGACACUUUGGUAGAUGCAACGGCUAAUCAUGAGAUGAUGUCAUUCAUGGAUGGGUUUGUGGGUUACAAUCAGAUAAAGAUGUCCGUAGAAGAUGCAGAGUUGACAGCCUUUCGUACCCCGUUUGGGAAUUUCUACUAUGUGGUAAUGUCAUUCGGGUUGAAGAACGCGGGGGCAACUUAUCAAAGGGCAAUGCACGCUAUAUUUCAUGACAUGAUUCAUGAUAUAGUGGAAGACUACGUGGACGACAUAGUAGUGAAAUCCAAGAAGGCAACAACUCAUGUGGAGGACUUGAGGAAGGUGUUUGAGCGGUGUCGAAGGUAUAAAUUGAGGAUGAAUCCGAAGAAGUGCGCCUUUGGAAUGACAGUGGGAAAAUUUUUGGGCUUCUUGGUACACAACAGAGGCUUAGAGGUGGACCCAAGCAAGGCGAAAGUAAUCACAGAGAUACCCCCGCCAAAAACGAAAAAACAGUUGAAGAGCUUUCUAGGGAAAGUUUCAUACAUGAGAAGAUUCAUGCCAGCAUUAGCCGAAGUCACAGAACCUUUCGGUAAAUUGCUAAAAGGAAAGGCACAAUGGGACUGGGGGCAACAACUGGCCUUUGAGAAGGUGAAAAGAAUUUUGGCUUCAGCACAAACGAUGGUAGUGCCACAAAGAGGAAUGCCAUUGCAGUUGUACAUUACAUCUACCAAGAAGUCUAUAGGUGGGCUGAUCACGCAGGAGGUGGAUGGAGAAGAGAAACCUGUGUAUUAUAUUAGCCGGAUAAUCAGAGGACCGGAAACUAGGUAUUCACAGGUGGAGAGGCAUUGCCUAGCAUUGGUGUUCAUUACGCAAAAAAUGCGGCAUUAUUUUUUAGCACACGAAGUAAAGCUUGCAACAAGAACUGAUCCAAUCAGAUACCUAUUAACUAAGCCAACAUUAGUAGGAAGACCUGCCAGAUGGAUGAUGAUUCUUUCAGAAUACGACAUCAAGUGUGUAACACCGAAGGCGAUCUAAUGUCAAGCCUUGGCAGACCUGCUGGCUCAAUUUCUAAAUGGAGAAUAUGAACCCCCUUCUGAGGAUCUUCCGGGUGGAAAAGUAGAAUCAAUCGAGUUGAUGGAUGAGGACCCAGAAUGGUGGAGUUUGGCUUUUGAUGGAUCACUUGCAGAAGGUAAAGGCGGAGCAGGAGUGGUUUGACCACCAAAGAAGGAAAUGAAGUGGCCUUGUCAUACAAAUUGGAUUUUCAUUGCACAAACAAUGAAGCGGAAUAUGAGGCGUUUAUACUAGGAUUGUUGGCGGCUCAAGAAUUGGGAGCCAAACAUCUUAAAGUAAAGGGAGAUUCAAACCUCAUAGUGCAAUAUAUAAGAGGCCAAUUCAGAGUAAAGGAACCUAUCUUGGCGCCAUAUCGAACUAUAGCACAAAAGGUGAUGGAGGCUUUCAAGAAGGUGGUGAUUGAAUAUGUGCCAAGAGGACAAAAUAAAUAACCUGAUGCACUAGCAACAGUAGCGUCUCGAGUCUAUGUCCAAGGAGAGGAUUUGGAUGUAAAGGUAAUGAAGAGAACCCUCCCAACCACGGUGCUAAACUUGUUCCCCAAAGACAUGAUAGAUGAUUGGCGUCAUGACAUCUCCCAUUAAUUACAAACAAAUGAGGGAACAAUACCUAUCGUGAAGUUACAGAAGUACAUCAUCAUCAAAGGUGUCAUGUAUCACAAAGAAGCAGACGGUGUAUUGACACAAUGCUAGGGGAGGCAGGAAGCAAAUAGAGUCUUGCAUCAGGUACAUGAUGAGAACUGCGAAUUGGCAGACAUAUGCCUGUAUCGUAGGCUGCAACGUCAAGGGUAUUAUUGGCCUGAAAUGAAAAAAGAAGCAGAUGCCCUGCAACGCCAAUGUGUUUCAUGCCAAGAAUACCUUGGGGAGGAUGAAUGCGCCUUCAUUGAGGAUAUAGUGGAUUGGGGAAUCCCUUAUGUAGAGUUCUUACAAAGCGGGACUCUUCCGACCGAAAAGAAGGACGCAAUUAUAAUCAAGAGGAAGUCACAACAUUUUUUCUUGCAAAAUGGAGAAUUGUUUAGAAGAAGAUUCAAUGGCAAGCCCCUAUGGUGUCUGGAACUAGGUGAAGCCAAAGACUUGGUUUACCAAAUGCACAAGGAUGAACACCAAGGGGGAGCCAAUUUGUACAAACAACUUAUCGAUCAUGGUUAUUACUGGCCAAAGAUGGAGGGAGAUUAUCUAGAAUUUGUUAAAAAGUGCCACAUUUGUCAAAUACAUGGAAACUUGAUCCAUGCUCCCGCCGUGGAUUUGCGAACCUUGGCAAUACCAUGGCCCUUUCAUACAUGGGGAAUGGAUCUUAUAGGUCAUAUUCACCCUAAUUCCAAGGGUAACAUAUAGAUUUUAACUGCCAUCGAGAUGUAAACAAAGUGGGUGGAAGCAGUACCCUUGAAGAAGGCCACGGGACCAACAGUGGCAAAUUUUAUCAAGGAGCACAUCAUUUGCCAUUUCAGGAUCCCGAAGAUCAUUUUGUUCGACAACGGAACUCCCUUCACCAAUAGGGAUGUCAAAAAUCUGAUGGAAAGAUACAGGGUGAAACAUUAUAAAUCAUCACCCUACUACCCGAAAAGCAACGGAUAAGCUGAGGCUACAAACAAAACCUUGAUAAAAAUUUUAUCAAAAAUCCUAGAUGAUCAUCCGAAGACAUGGGCAGAACAACUACCAAUAGCGUUAUGGGCAUAUCGGACUUCAAAACGAAAGCCUACAGGUGAGACCCCAUACGCUAUGGUUUAUGGUGAAGAAGCUAUCUUGCCCGUCAAAAUUGAAAUACCUUCGGCUCGGAUGAGACUUCGAAGUUUAGUCGAGGAAGAAGACCGACCAGCUGCCCUGGAGGCCUUAGUUGACUUCCGAGACAAGGCUAAAGAAAAGCUUGAAUGGUACCAUGAAAGACUGUGAUGACAAUACAAUAUCGCGGUGGUACCACGAUAAAUUCUGGUGGGAGACCUGGUGCUCAAAACGGCAACUCAAGUCAUGAGGGGGACCCCAACCACCAAAUUUUACCCCAAAUGGGAACGCCCGUAUAGGGUACGAGAGAUCUCCGAAAGCGGGUAUUGCAAGAUAUCUCGUGUGGGAUCAGAUGCCGUCUCAGGCCCAUUAAACUUGAAGUGGGUAAAGAAAUAUUAUACAUGAGAUGAGCAUCACAAAAAGUUAUACUUUCAACUUCAAAAGUAAUCGAGGCACCUGACUAACAGCCCUCAGAAGUUACACUUUCAACUUCAAAAGUGAUCGAGGCACCUGACUAACAGCCCUCAGAAGUUACACUUUCAACUUCAAAAGUGAUCGAGGCACCUGACUAAGUAUAGCCCUCAGAAGUUACACUUUCAAACUUCAAAAGUGAUCGAGACACCUGAUUAACAGCCCUCGGGAGUUACACUUUCAACUUCAAAAGUGACUGAGGCACCUAAGUAUAAGCCCUCAACCUCGAAAGUUACACUUUAUCUUUAAAAGUGGCGAACGUUAUGCUUUAUUCGACAAAAGCAUGAAAGUUACACUUUACCUCUAAAAGUGGAAAACGUUAUGCUUUCUUCGACAAAAACAAGAUUUACUUAUGAAACGUUAUGCUUUUCGUUAAAAGCAAUUUGAUUAUCAAUAAAUUGACAAACUUUCACUUAUACUUGAAUAUUUUUUUUAAAUUUCUUAAAAAAAAAAAAGGUCAAGUGUUGGUUUGUGAAAUAUAUAUAUAUAUAUACAUGUUUUUGAUAAAAUUCAUGUUUCAUGUUUACUUGCUUAUAAUACCUAUUGUUGUCUUGGAAUAUUAAUUUGAAUAACUUGAGAUUCAAUGAUAAAUAUUGAGUUUUAAGGAAUUAUUCAAAUUAAAAGCAAUUAACAAGGUUAAAGAAACUACAUUUUGAUAAAAUGAAAUAUGUGUAAAUGAGUUUCUGAAACAGGAAAUCGAAAAAAAACUACUAUAACAAGUUAUGAUCUAAAGGCCAAGACAUAUCAAAAUGAAGUGGAGGCACAGUUAAAGCUUCUAUGUCAACGACAGCAUCUCGAAUAUUAAGAUUUGCAACUUUCAGUUCCCUAACCUGUCGGGUAGUUGACUCUAAGUCCCGUCGCUGGCGCUCUACCUCCCGAAGUUGGCCUUCUAAAUCUUGAGACGGGAUCUUCAAUUUGUUGGCGGCUUCGUCAAGCUCAGAAAGCUUCACUGAAAAGGAUUCAUCUUCACACUUACGUACAGCAACCUCCGAACGUAAUGAAACAAGCUUAAAACUUGACUUGAGAAGAGUCAAUCUAUCACAAAACGGAGACAUGUCAACACCUAUGGCUGUAAGGUCGUCUACUUUAUCGCUAAACUUCUUCAAGUCCUCGACUCGCAAAGAAUAUAAAGAAAGAGUGUGCAAUCCACGAAUAAGGCCUGCGAGCUGAUCUAGGAAGAAGGUUUAGACGGAUGUUUCCUUAAUAAUCAAUCGGUCAAGUAUCUACAGGAACCGAGCUAGGAGACGCUCCAGACUUUCCUGACUAGAAGAUGAUAUCUGGAAACCCCUCCAAAAAAUAAGAUCCUCAUUUGGAUUGAAGGAAGCUCUGGUAGCAGCUACUUUAGAAGCCACCAUUAAAUUUGUCGAGUCAAGGGGUGGAGGAGCAGAAAAAUGUUGUAUGGCUGAGGAUUCCUCAAAACCUUGGUCACCUGGAGGAUAACCAAGGUCACUAUAUGGCGAGUGGGCAACAUCCGGAUGAAGAGCAUCAAAUAAAGUGAGUGCCUCAACAGGCAAAGGCAAAUCUUUCAUCUUCUCGCUCUGAAAACAAAAUUUCAAAGCAUAAUACAAAAAAAAAGAGAGAAAGGAAAUUCAAGACAAAUCAUAUGUUGACUAAAGAAGGAUACUCAUAAUAUAGUCAAUGGAAAAAGAGUCGGGAGAUGCCACAGAAAGGGGAAUGUCAUUCAACCCACCCAACGUACUAUCAACAAUGCCCUCCUGAGCAAUUACCAACUCGGUAGAAUCCUUAUGGGGAGGAUGAACAUCACCGAUAGUUUCAAAAUGAUUCCCCCUCGGGGAAGUAAGAGUCAUCAAUAUCUUCAGACUCAUCAUGAGGAGCAGGCAUAGAAAGGUGUGAAGAAAUGGCUGUAUCACCCACAGCAGGACUUGAGCUCACAUCGGAUAAAGUGUCCUUAGCAUCAAGACUAACACAAUCAUCACGAGGAGUAGAUGACUCAAUAUCAACAAGGACAGGUUGGGGAGGCUCACGACUAGUGGAAACCGCCGCGACCACCUCAUUGGUAGUACUACACAUAAGCCUAAGAGGAAUGUCAUCAUCAUCAUCUUCAUCGACCACGGUAACCUGAAAAAAAAAUAAUAAUAUAAAGGAAACAAUUACUUAACGAUAUGUGAAAGUAGUAAUACAAGGGAUGAAAGAAAAACGAGAAUAGUACAGUAAAAAAAAAUUACCAAAUUUCUACGGCACUUCUUGGUCGGAUCCUCAGCUUCUGGCAUACUAGAAUCAACACUAUCAAGAGGGCAUUUUGCCAAUGGCUUUAUGAUAAGCCUAAUAGGAGGAGGACGACUGACUGGAACCACAGCAAAAAUAAUAGGAGGAGCUACUUCAGAAUCAGUAGUAAUACCUGCUCUCGUUUUAGAACGAGUAACUCUCAUUGCCUCGGCAUCAGAGGAUCCCUGGGGAGGAGCUGGAGGAGACACCCGAAAUGGAGCCCAUGGUGGAAGACUCCUGGAAGUAUUGGGAGCCUGUGCAGAAAAAGUAUUCGGAUCACCUCGAGGAGGAAUGUCUGCUAAAUGAGGAAGAGAAGACUUAGACAUCAAGACCUCGCGCUCAAUCAAUCGGCUACUGGCUGGCCAAAGUGUUGGACGGAUAUUGAUCUUAGGAGAGCAUAGCAGUCGGCCCCAUUGGAGACUUUUCGGAAUAAAAACUGGCAAUGAACAAAUCAAGGUAUCAUCCUCCCAUCUUUUAAGAUUGACCUGCCAGUAAUUACGUUCGCCAGUGGUAUAUCGCCCGCUUUAGGAACUAUCUGGUAUGACAAAAGGAAGGGGUCUAUAAAGAUCACUUGGUAGCCUCGGAAAUGCCCAUGUAAAAGAGGGGGGAGUACAGACAAAAUUGAGAAGAGCGGCCUCAUAAUUCCCCCGGCAGGUGUGACCGAAAGGGCGUUCCUGGUCAUAUCCGAAUUGUCUCAUGACCCUGUGAGGAGAAUACAGUACAGUGCCAAAACUAUUAUUCUCAAGGAAAUAGGGAAGCUCUGUAGACCGAAGGAAAAUGAACCAGGACAGUGCAGAACCACUCAAGCUGGUCCUGUUGAGGCUUGAGUAGGUACGAAAUUUGUGCUUGUAAAAAUGAGGUAGAUGACCGCAACCCUCCGAAGUAAUGGUGUAGGGAUGGGCAGUGAAACAUGAAUAAUCAUCAAGGAAAGACCGUGAAUCAGUACUAUCAAAGCUAAAUCGGUGAUCAAUCCAACGUGCCAUGCGAGGAAUGACAUUGAGUGAUGAAAAAAGAGGAGAUUUCUUCUUCUGCUUAGAGGAAUAGCCCAAAAAGCGCUCAAAAAGAAAAAUCUGAAGAAAGGAGCAUGGAAGGAAGCAAUUGACAUCGUACCUGAAUGAAUAAAAGUCAAAUAAGAAAAAGGUUAAAGGAAAAGAAGUGCGGUUGUAAAGACAAAUAUAUAUAUAUAUAUGAAAGUGAUUACCUCCCAACAGAUUCUUUCAUGGCAAGGGUUGUUUCGUCUAGGCGACGAUAUAAGGUCCCUAGGAAGAGAGAAGCAAGGGGAAUUUCCGAGCCCCGGAUAAUAACACUGCCAAGCCGAACAUACGGGCCGAAGGACCGUCCAUGGGAGAUCCAGGGAAGAGGAAGCGGGACAGCCACAUAGCCAGAUAAGCUGCCAGAGGAAAAGGACAAGUCUCUCCACGGAGGGCAAGAAUAGAUUUGUCAUGAAUAGAGUUGUCCCACUGGUUGGUCUUGUAGUCACGAAAGAAGUAACGUACCCAGGAUAACCAAGAAUUUUUCUGUCGACUAGAGGUCUCGAAGUCUGGAAGAAGUGUAUCGCCCUUGAAGCGGGAAGUGAAGUGGGAAGAUUGCUUGAAGGCUUCCAUUAAGUAGGCAACACAGUCGUCAUCUCUAGUGGACAUGCUAGAAGGAUCGCAUGAGUUCGAGGCCACAAUGGGAAGGCUACAAGAUGUAAUUCAAUAUAUAUAUAUAUAUAUAUAUAUAUAUAUGUUUCAGAAAAAUUAGAAUGAAUUAAAGGAAUAAAAGAAGAGAACUUACUGAUAGAGGGCAUAGACAUCCUCUAGAGUAGGGGUGAAUUCCCCCCAGGCAGUGAUGAAUGUGCAAGUAGAGGAACACCAUCGGGAGAUCAACACAAUAAGACCGUUAUGGUCAUGGUGGAUACGUAGGUCUCUGCACAGUUGAACACAAUGAAAGAUGCUCACAUUCUUGAGUAUUUCCACGUAUUUAGCGUUUCCAAGGAUCUCGUCGGUCCAAUCAUGCCAUCCUUGAAGGCGAUUAGAUGAAUCAGAUAGGAAGCGAAGGGGACUGAAAGGGUAUUCUUACUUCUCUAUACAUAGGCGGGGAAUGCAAUUGGCAUGGGGGAAGUCAUCCCAACCUUCGCAAGAUGGGGCAUACAGAAAUAAGCCUUCUUUCUCUGGUGGAGGAAAAGUCGCACGAUCAUAGUCUUUAACUCUAUCCCAAAAGAUGUCAGAAGGACCAAAGAAGGGAGCUCUCCCCCAAUCGAUGAUGAAGGGGGACUCUUUGGCAGUUCGUGGUCCUGUAAAACAUUCAGGUGAAAGGGCUUACAAGCAAGGGGAAGUUCAUUAUAACAAUCCUGAAUAAAACAAAGAAAGGAUGUCAAGUAAAGUAUUUGAGCUUGAAGUACUCACCAUGGCAAAGAGAAAAACCCGAGAGUAAAGCUUCAAAAUACCUGAAAAGAAGAAGAAACAAUGUCAGAAAGAGUUAAGAAUCACAAUUAUGGAAGAAAAAAUUUUCAGAAAUUUUCAAAAAAAAACUUCGAAACGUCAAAAGGCAUCCUUCGGAGCCUUUUUUGGACUUAUAAUAGCGUAUGUCAUGGCCAUAGGCGAUGUCUUUAGUAGGGCUCAUCGAUAUCUUCGUUUUGAUAUAUUAUGGGCCCCGAAACUCCAAACGAGUCAAAAGUUAUGAUCCAAAUAGUAACGGCACCUCCCAAACUUCAUUUUUUCGCCUAAACAUUGAUCAUCCCCUAGGACUCGCCCCCUAGGGUUCGGCCUCCUAGGGUUCGAACCCUAGGGUUCGGUCAAAAAGGGGUGGUUUUGACACAUGCAAGCAGAUUAUUUUUUAUACGGUUGCGUUUUCGUCGAAAAAUAUUAAGUCUUUCUUUAUUAUCCACGAAAAGUGUUAGGGUUCGCCCCCCCUAGGGUUCGGCUCCUAUAGAGUUCGGCCCACUUAGGGGGUGUUCCUUCCCCUUCUUAAAAAAAAAGGUAGGGUUCGGCCCCCCCUAGGGUUCGGCUCCUAUAGGGUUCGGCCCCCCUAGGGGGUGUUCCUUCCCCUUCUUAAAAAAAAAGGCGGCUUUCCCCUAUAGGGUUCGGCCCCCAAGGGGGAUUCUUUUGUAUACCUUUGAUAUUCUGAUAUUCCACAAAUCAACUUUUUGGAGCGAAUGCUUCUUAAUUUGACGUGACAAAUAUUGUAUCUUCCUUUAUUAUUCGAGGGAGCCCUACCGAGAUAUGAUCAAGGUAACGGGGCUCGGAAGACAAAAGAAAGGUUAAAAUGGUCUGAAAAGAAAAAUAAAUGAAACAAGUUAGGAGGAAGUUCGAUAGAAAGCAUUCAAAUAAACAGAAAAUUGAAAGCAAAGACAAGAAGAAGAAACGGAGCCCCAAGGGUUUGGGUUCAACCCCUAGGGUUCGGCCCUAUGGGGAAGAAUUCUACUUUCUCACCUCUUGCUCGGAAUAAAGAAUGUUUCCUUGUUGCCUCCUUGAUAAUUUUCCAAACUUGCAAGAAGAGAGGGAGUCCAAGAUGAAGCAAGACGAAAAGAAAAGCCUAAGUGACUUGGGAGAUGUAUAUAUAUAUAUAUAUAUAUAUAUAUAUAUAUAUAUUCUCCAAGUAUGCUUGCAACAGAAAAGGAAGCAGCCUCUAUUUUCCUAUUAAGGAAAAUUUUGAAAUAUAAAGAUAAGUUUAUUUGAGCUUACUUCUAAAUAAAAUAUAUAUAAAUGGAAAUUUCAAAAUUUGUAUACAUUUUAAUGGAAUUCCGAAAAAUAAAAUAAUAAAAUAAAAUAAUAAUAAUAUAUCUUUGAUAUUUUUAUUCCUAAUAAUAGGGAAAUUACGAAAUUAAUAUAUAUAUAUAUAUAUAUAUUUAUUGAAUAUUUGAUUUCCUUAAGAGGAAAGAUAUUGCUUUACAAAAAUCAAAUAGAGGAAGAUUUUAUUUUACUUCCAAAAUAAAUAAGAUUUUAUUUGGAAAUAUUUGAUUUGAUUCCUAAAUAAAAAGAAAGAUUUGAUUUACCAAAAGAGAGAUUUUAUUAGAUUAAAUUUUAUUUGGUAAGAUUUGAAAAUCUUCCUUGUUUUAAUCUCCAGGAAAAAAAAUAAGGAAACAAAUAUUGGGCAAGAUAUGGAAAGAUUUUUGGAGAAUUUUCUCAAUAUGUCCAAGGAAGAGCCCUACUAGGGUUCGCAUCCCUAGGGUUUAACCCUAAGGGUUUGGUUUCCUAGAGGUUCCCUCUUCUAGGACCCUCGUCUUCAAAACCUAUAAAGUGAAGCCCAACAAAAUCAUUCAAAGACUUACAAUUUUCUUGCACGAUCAUCUAUUUAGGAAUGCGACUCUCGCGCAGGGGGCAAAUGUGGGCCCAAGUGUAAAAUUAUGGUUCACAUGACCUAAUUGAAUUAAAUGCACAAUUAGGGUUCCACAAUCUCAUUAAAUGUGCAAAUUAGGCUUCGCAUAACCUAAUGAAAUAAAGACAAAAAAGCCAAAAAUAAAUGUGCUAGACCCGGGAAAGCCUCCACGUGUUCCAAGGCAGAAGACUUGUGGACGCAACCCGUAUUGGGAAUUGAUUGAGGGAUUGGAUUGGCGGCUAGAAGGACAGGGCAAUUUGGGCAUUACUUUGAUGACUAAAGGGUAUUUCUGGAAUUUCCCCUUAAAGACAUGACUAAGGGUAUUUCAGGAAUUUCUCUUAAAACAUGUGGCUGCCAUGUGACUGCUUCCCAGGAAAGCUCUAUAAAUAGCCUUCUAUCCUAAGAAGGAAGGGGACUUUGGCCAAACAUUACACUUGGACUCUUGGAAGCUCUGAGCACUUGGAAUUCUCUCCCAACUCGAAGACUCAAGAAGGCUCUUGGAAUCCCUGCUACCCUAACUCGGUUUCCGAAUUCUGAGAGUUUUGCCACGUGUCAUUGGAGUAAUCGCCCACCUGUCGUUCUCCCCUCUUCAAUCAAUCAAUCAAUUCCUUAUUCUUCGUGGAUUUCUCGCCUCUCCAGCCAACACGAAACCCUAACCCUAGCAAGGCACGAUUUCCUUGUCCACAGAUAUGAAUCAAUCUCAUAUAUAUAUAUAUAUAUAUUGACCAAGGCAGAAUAUUUUUUUAAUGGGGUCAAAAUUACUACAAAGUUACAAAUAUUUAGUGAGGUUCUGGGGCAGCGUUGGGGUACGUUUAAAUAAUUAAAACAUAUAUUAUGUUUAGUUGGUGAAAAUUAAAUAGAAUUAAAAUUAUUUCUUAUUAAUUUUUGCUCCAUUUGAUCAAUAAGAAUAGAAUGUUCAAUCCAUUCUAUUGCCAUUAAUUGAUUCUUUUCUAUAAUAGUGGUUUUAGCAUUUUAAAUUGAAGUACAUUUGUGACCAUUCUCAUUCCAUUUCUUAGUUCAUUCUAUUUUAUUGUCAUUCCAAUCAUCAGAGCUAGGGAAUGGGAACCAAAGACAACAAUAAUCCCUCCCUUAAAAAAUUAAAAAUAUAUUUUACUUUUUAGUCGUUUUAAAAUUUAAUAUAUAUUUUUAUUUUUAAAUUAUAAAAUCAUUUGAAAUUAUUUAUAUGACAUCAUUUACAAACCUUGUGGUGUAGAUUAAAUAUAAUCGUGUCACUACUACUUUUUUUUUUUUGGAGAACACCACUAGUGCUACAAUUUUAGAAAAUAUUAGGAAUAUGUUUGGGUAAGUAAAAUUUAAUUUGAAUUUUUUUUUAAAAUUUAUAUUUAAUUUUAAAAGUGAGAGUACAUUUAAUAACAAUAAAAUCUAAUCAAUAGUAACAUUAUAUAUACACCCUCCCUCUUGAUUCUUAUUAGGCUUUUAUUAAUUACAAAUUCGUUCAUAAAUACUUGAUUUUCUAAUUUUUUUAAAGAUAUAAUAUAAAUUAAAUUAUUAUUUAACUUAAGAAAAUUAGAGGAAGAUGGAAAACAUGAGAGAAAAAAGAGAGAAAUUUAUCUUAUGGAGGGAGUAUAUAUUAAUUAAUGUUACAUGUCUCAGUGAAACUCAGAGCAGGCCCUGAGCAAGGGCCACCGGGGCUACCGCCCAGGGCCCACAGUCAAGGGGCCCAAAUUUUUUUAUAAAUUUAUGUAUAUAUGUAUAUAAAAAAAAUAAAAUAAUAAAAAGAUUAGGGAUAUUAUACAUUAAAAAUGAUAUGUUAGAAAAUAUUAAAUAUAAUAAAAUAAUUAAUGAUUUUGCAUCUAAAAGUGUAACAAAAAAAUAUUUUAAAUAAUGUUUUAAGGAGAUUGUUGAGGAAUCAGAUUUGGAUACAGUCUUGGAAGCAUGUCUUCUGCUUUGUUGGCGAUUUUAAAAUGUGAUUUUCAAUUUCAUGCCGAGAGCAAGCCAAGUAGCUCAGGAACUAUAACAGCUUUAGCUCAGCCAGAUAAUAUACUUUUUCCUAUAUAUUGGAUUAAUGAUUGCCAUCAAGCCUUUAAUUGUAAAAGAAUCUGCAGAUGAAUAGAAGUUUUUGUCCUGGCUGAGAACGUUUAUUUCAACAACAACAAAAAAAUGUGGUAUCCAGCUUAUGUACUGUAAUUCCUUUAAAUAUUCGAAAACACAAGAAGCAAUUUUCAAGAUGAAAAUUAACCUCGUAUUACAGUUAUGGUAGUAUUUCCCAAUUGGCCAAGCUUAUGUUAAAUACUCAAAACUCAGUUUUCAAGAAGAAAAGUCAUAUAAAUGUAAUUCCAUUCAUCAUCCCUACUCAUCACUAGCCAUUUUGGCAAUGGUAAUCGAGGUACAAAAUAUUAAAACCAUGGUAACCGAUAGGCUUUGCGGCUUAUCGGACAAAAUUCUUUGCCAUAUCCUCUCCUUUCUUCCUUCAAAAUAUACUGUUGGUACUAGCAUCAUAUCAACCAGAUGAAGGUAUUUGUGGACUUCUGCACCAGUUCUUGAUUUCGAUGAUUCAUUACAAUUAUAUAAUGAUACUGCUAAUGAUAAUCAAGAAGGCAAAUUGGGCUUUAUAAAUUUUGUGCAUAGAGCUUGUAUCAUUCACAUGCAUCUUCUAUUUAAAAACCCUGUCUCAAAUGCAGCACACUCCAUCUUUUUGACAUAAAAUGGAUUUAUUUCAGCCGUAUUAAAACACGGGGUUUAAAAGGUUGAUCUGUGCACCAAGAACGAGAAAAUAUCCGAGCUAAAAUUAGAUCAUUUUGUUUUUGGAAAUUUUGUUCAGUUAAAAAUUGGGAGAAAUUUUGUCCUAGGUUUUCCUUCAUCGCUUGUUUUUUCUAGUCUCAAGGUACUUCAUCUUGACUCAGUUGAAUUAUAUUCCCGGUUAAUAGUUUAACCAAUAAUCUAUUUCAAAACUGCCUUGUACUAUAAGGUUUGAAUAUUGAGAAAUGUAGAUUACUAAAUAUAGGAGUUCUUCGUAUUUCUGCACCCGAAAUUAAGUACUUGUCAAUUAUAUGCUCAUUGGAUAAAGAUAAUGAUUACGAUACUGAAUUUUGCGAGUGUUUCAUUGUUAUCCCUGACGUACAUUGAUUAUUUGGCAAAUGGCUAGUCAUUAAAGAAUCAUCUAUCUUUAAAAAUAGCAAAUAUUGAUGUUAGAUUUGGGAGGCAUGAAAUGAAAUAUUUUCCGGAGUGUAGAAUGGAUCUUGUUGAAGGAAUUUAAAUGUCAAUUGCAUUAACUUGUCUGGUUAUUUUUGAAAGAAACUUUUAUCAAUUUAUUACUCUUUGUUCUUCAUUUUAUGGGCUUAUUUUUUGACUGAUAUCAUUAAAUUUUUUCCGUAAAGAUUUUGCCUAUCCUUGAGAUUAAGCUUUCCAUAAUUUGAUUGCGGUGAGGCUGGAUUGCACCAAAUACACUAGAAAAUUACGGAGUAGACUGCUCGAGUGUUCUCCUAAGUAAUUUGAAAGUUCUCGUACUAGAUGAGUAAGGGCACUACGUGUGUUCAUAUGAUGUUUCUGUUCUUCAGUUUGAUUAAUAGCAAAUCAUUUCCUCAAAAACAAUUAUUAGUGUAAAUUGUACCUGUUCGGGAACAUUUUGCUGACCUGCAAGUGGGCCGAAGGCCUGAUGCUAAAAGAGGAUGAUAAAUCCAUUGGACCGAGGCCCUCAGGGGUGUUGAAGGGGUUUGGACAUCCGAGUCCUCUGGACCGGAGUCUUAUUCGAGAUAUGGCGUUCGGGUUCAGGUAUCCGAGUCCUUUGGGCCGGAACUCUAUUCUGGUAGGGGAUGUUCGGGGUCUCGCCUUCGAGUCUUCUAGGCCGAAGUCCGAACUAUGCAGAUAGCUCGGUUGGAUUGGGCCUGUGCAGUGGGCUGACCUGCGUACAGAGUCUGAAGUCCCAGCCGUAUUUGAAUAAGGUAACUCCAAAGGUGGUGAUUGGAUUGGAUUCUACUUUCACCUUUUAAGGAGAUUGUGUUGGACCCAAAUUAUGGUAACUGCCAUAAUUAAGGAGUCCUAAUCCGACUCGGAGAAGGAUUCUAAGGUGAUGAGGCACUAUAAAUGCAAGGCCUAGGUUACGAUUAUGAGGUAAUACCUACUUUUGAGCACUAAACACUUAGCCUCCAUUGUUAAACCUUGUGAACGGCCUGUACUUAUUCUCACACUGGAGUUAUCCCCCGGCAGCACAAGCCGUCAAGCUUCUGUGUGAUCUGUUAUUGUGCAGGUUCUAGCGCGUGGAUUCUGUGAUUGGAUGCGCCGGUGAAACUUGGCAUUAACAUUGGCACUAGAAGGAGGGCUUUUAGUGCUUUAAUCAAUCACAACUGACUUUUCCGGUAAGAGGCCAUGGCGUGCAAGGAGAACAGCGCUUCUAACCAGGAAAAGGCAAAGACACACCAGACCACUCAGGUGAGAGGGUCGGUCAAAGACAGAUUGGGUUCCAGAAUCCAAGGUGAUCAGCAGGAACCGGUCGCUUCCCACCGGCGGAGACUCUUCCAUGACGGCCAUCAUACCCCCAACCAGGCCAGUCGUGCGGAUGAGAAUCGUUCUCGGGCACUGGAGGUAUGUGGAAAGGACCGAUGAGAGGACAGCCGAGAUCAGAGGGAGUUUAUCUUGCAGAAGAAGAUGCAACAGAAUAGAGAUGCCAUGAUGGCCUUGCAUCUUCAGCAAGAUGAACUUGAACAACAGAUGACAAAAAUGGCUGGAGAAAAGGAAGCCUCCUCAAGACGGCGCAGGCGUCGGAGCCGAUCCUGGUCACCUCGACGGGGAGAGGCUGAAAGGGAAAAGAGCAGACACCGAAGUCGGUCUUGGGACGGCCAAAGUAGAAGAAGGAGUCGUUUGCCAGACCGAAGAUCGGACCAUCCGGGUAGGUCGGGAUAGAGGAGGAGGGACGAGUCUCCUGAAUAUGAGAGGGACAGACCCCGAUCGUCCCCCCAUAAGGAGUCCGACCCCCUCGCUCGAAGGGUGGUAGAACUGGAAAAGUUGUUGGCGGCGAAGAAUGCAAUGGGAACACAUUCGGCUUGUAUGGGUUCGCCCUUCUCACCCGAGAUAAAUCAUGUUACCAUCGAUCCCAAGAAGAAAAUGCCCCCGAUGGAGACAUAUGAUGGGCUGGGGGAUCCGUACGAUCAUUCCGACUGAUACGACAGACUAAUGACAUAUUACGGACAUUCGGACGCUGCCAAAUGUCACAUGUUCGCCACCACUCUGAAGAAGAGCGCCCAAGAAUGGAUGGGGACCUUGGCGGCGGGGUCAAUUAAUUCAUGGAAUGAUCUUUGGGAGAAGUUUCAUGCCCGUUUCAGAAGCAACAGGAGGAGGGGAAAGAUCAUAGCUUCCCUCAUGCAGGUUUGGCAAAAAUCAGAUGAGAGUCUGGGACAGUAUGUCAAGAGGUUCCGAGAGGCUGUGGGGUCGGUAGCAGAGCUGAAUUCCCCACAAGCCCUCGGUUUCUUCACGACCGGUUUGGACAUCGGGAAGUCGAAGAAACUGAUGAAGGACUUGGUGAUCAACCCUCUAGGAGAUUUGACAGAAGCCUUCCACCGAGUCGAAGGAUACAUAGCCAUAGAAGAGGCAAUGGGAAAUUUUAAACCCCACUCCUAGUCUUAAGAGAAGUCCAAGGAUUGGGAUAAGCACAACUUUCAACGGUUGGAUAACCAGGGGAAAUCCGACAACUAUGGUAAGAAAGGCUACAUUGGAGGAGGUUCGGGUAACAGACGACCAUCUUUCCCAAACAGGAAUGUCAACAAAGUCUACACCACACUCAACACUGACCGGGCGAAGAUAUUGGAAGAGAUACGGAAUAAACCUUUCUUUAAGCCAUGCCCGACAAUCCCAAAGCCUAGAAAGAGGGGUCGAGACAAAUACUACGAAUACCAUCAAUGUCGGGGGCAUACGACGGAGAUGUGUAAUGAUUUAAAAGAUCUGAUAUAGAAGAAUGUCCAGAACGGACAACUGGUACAGUACGUGGUGGGUCAGGAAGGUUCAGAAGCACCUCGAGAGGAGAACAGGGGGCCGACUCGAGAAACACAGCCGCAACCGAACCCGCAACCCUGAGGAGUAAUUGACGUAAUUUCUGGCGGGUCGGUAGGGUGUGUAACCGAACAGAAGAGAAGUGGGCACCUCGAGGCUAUAUUAUCAGUAGCAAGUUCAUCACCCAGAAAGAACAGGGCCUACUCAGGAGUUUCCAUCUGUGACGCCUCCAAAUCCAGGUUCUCUAACCUCAGAUUCAGUGCUCACGAUCCUAUCAUCAUCAUAAGCAUUCUAUAACUAUUUCGAAAUAAUAAACAUACAUUGUUCAUUAUACAAAAGUCUCAAAACAUGGUCCCAAGGUCUCUCUAACCUUAACUUUAAAUACACCAUUUAUAAUACAAAUAGUUUACUCAAGAAAUUCCAUUAGAUAAUAACUAAUUUAACAUUCAUUCUAAAAUUACUCCUGGAUCUUGCCCUUGCCCUUGUCCUUCGCAUUAGAUCCUUCGGGCUUAACUGAAAAUAGAGGUCAUGAUAUAGCAAGAGUAAGCAACUAAUUUGCUUCACAAGUUUAUAAAGACAAAGGAGAUAUAUCAUGACUUAGAAAGAAAUAUUGCCUUCAAUGUUCAACAAUAAUAUAAGAUUGUGAAGGAACAUGAAUUAAUAAUCAACAAUUGAAUAUUCGAUAAUUGAAUAACAUGAACUGAGUGGUUUUGAAUAACCAUGAACAUUUGCCAAGGUGCUCAGUGAUUUAAACUGGACCUUUUAAUAAGUUUUGGUAUUCAAGGGGAUCAGCCUUUCAUACCCCGUGAUUUAUGCAUAAACACUUAAUAAUCCGACAUUGAUAUCAUGCCUUAAUCAAAUUUGUUCAUUUCUCAGUCAAGAGUUCUUACCAUAUCAAUUAAUAAGAACAGUUAUUUAAAAUCCAUUUGAUUUAACAAAUUUAGACAUGCUUGAUCUAGCUGAUACAAUUAGCAUAGAUCUAUCCCAUAAACAGUUCAUAAAUGAAGAACUUUAAUUUAAUUCACAGUUCAAUGGCAGUAGAACGGAAUUCAAUUGCACAAAGUGCGAAUUUCAAUAAUCAAUAAAGACGUGAAUAAUCAUCAAUAAUUAUUCACUAAUAUGCUUUGAAAAUAAUAACUCAAGUUGAGUUAGGAAACUUGCCUCGAUCGUAGGUUACAGCUACGAAAUAAAUUUCUAUCCACUAUGUAGUUAAAUUAUCUUCCUUUGAGAGACCUAUAAUUAGUCUUUCAAUUAGUCAAUGCAUAACAUCAGAUUAUGUAAUCACAUAGAUAUCAUACAUUACAAUAAGUUCUUAUAAACAUUAUCAUGCCUAGAUAGUGUUAUUAUUAAUUAACGACUACCUUUAAUUCACAUAAUAUUAUUAACUUAGAUAAUAUUAAUUCACCUUCUAGUAUUAUUGGUUCACUAAUAAUACUUUAAAUCAUUUACCAACAUUUUAUUCACUUACUAAUAUUAUUAAUCAUUUAAUAAUAUUUUAUCCCUUUACUAAUAUUAUUAAUCAUUUAAUAAUAUUUUAUUCACUUACUAAUAUUAUUAAUCAUUUAAUAAUAUUUUAUUUAAUCUCGAAUAUUAUUAUUUAAUAAUAAUACUCUAAUCUAAUAUUUUUAUUUACAUAACAACAUCAUAUUAUAAUAUUAUUAGUAUUAUAAUAAUAUUCCAAUGAUUUAUUAAAUUAAUAAACAAUUUAUUCUAAUUGUUCAUCCUUUAAUAACCUCUUAUUUAAUAUCCAUAAAAGGUCAUAAGUAAUAUUUAUUAUUAUAAAUUACCAAAAUGCCCUAAGAUAGUCAUGAUAUAAUAUAUUAUGAGCAUUCAAGCAUAAAAAUCAUAUUUUUCUCAUUAAAGGCAUCAUUUAACUAUUUAUUUCCUUUUAUUCAUAACCUAAUCAUUUUUAGGAAAAAUAGCAAACUGAUUCCAAAAAUUCUCAGCUUCUGGAUUUUAACAGAAUAUGAACCAACAAUGAUCCUCUAAUUUUUCUAGAAUUUUAGAAAAUGAUUUACUAUUUUUAGAGUGUCCAAAACACUCGGAUCUUGCUCUAUUUUUCAUAAAUUGAGUUUUACUCAGAAAAAUCUGAAAUUUUCAGGGUAUGCUCUCUUAACAUAUAUGAAGCUACUGUAAAAAUUUUGGAAUUUUCCAGUGUAUACACAGUGAGAUAUUCGUAGGAUAAUAUUUAUGGAGUCCUUUACGGAAAUAGUCAUUACGCACAAUAUAUAACUCGAAACGUGUCCGUUCUUUUUCCUACGCGUAGAUAACUUCAUAAGGUACCUCUGUAAUAUUUUUCCAGAUUUUUACAAGACAAGGAACUGACCGAAACAGCCUCAUGAAAAACAAGUCAGUAGCUGAUUUAGAGUUUCAAAGCUUUAGCAUAUAAAGUGGACUGUUUUGGGAAAAAUAAUCUUAAAGGUUUCAAAACUUACUAGAUUUGUGAUCUACCACUUGGGUUUACUAGAUAACUCAUGUAUCUAGCACCCCCCUUCGACGGAUCAUAAUUCCAAGUUGUAGAACUUGAGUUACACAAGAUUUAGUGGAAGAAAAACAAGAGUUUUCACCCUUGGAGAACAUAUGCUCAUUUUCUUCCUCUAAGCCUUAGAUCCAACACUCAAGAUACUUAGUUCCAUGCAUGAUGGUAUGUAUAACUAGUGUAUCUUGAGUAGUUGUACAUAACCCCAUCAAAACUCAAGCUAUCAAAACAAGGUAAGAGAAGAAGAUGAAGGUACAUUAUACCUUGACUUAGUGGCUACCUUCCUUGAUUUUCCAAAGUAACUAAUAAACUUAGGGGGCAUAAACAACUAGCACUCCUAUAUUUUUUUCUUUCUAUGGAUGAAAUUCUCUCUUUCUUUUCUCUCUUUGAAGUUGGCUAGCUUGGGAGCAAGAGAUAGAAGAAGAAGAUGAAGAAGAUGGAGAGAAAAUGAAAUGUUGGAAUACGAAUGAAGUGUUGGAAGAAUGAGAUGUGCAUUCAAAAUGUAAUGGGCAAUUCAUUAUUAAUUCUCCCACAAUCAUUUUGUUGCCCAUUAGGUAAAACACUUUGUAUUAUUACUUACCUUAGGUUAAACAUGAUUAAAUGUGCAUAAUGGAGUGGCAACCAAUGGGAGCCUUACAACAUUGUCCUUAUGUUUAUUCAUGUCUACUAAUGGACAAGCUAGAUUAAUUAUUCCACUUAGGAUCCUCAUAAUAUCCACCAUUUAGCUUUUAUUUUAAAUGCCCAAUUUUGAUUAAUCAAAUGUCUAGAAUACCCCCAAUCAAGUGGGCUAAGUAUUGGAUUACAUUUUAUUUUCCUUGGGCUUUUCUUUUAAUUGAUUUGGGCUAGAUAAAAACAUAGUCCAACAAUUUUAAUAAUGUUACCCAAUUUGAUAAUUUAGGGCUUUCAUCUCCAAUCAUAUGAAGUUUAAUUACUUAUACAUAUGAUUUUAUCUCAUAACCUAAUUAGAUUUACAAGAAUUAGGUUUAAAAUUAUUAGUCACUUGAAAUACUAAGUUUACCCACUUAAGUUAGUAUACAUAUAAAAUACUAACUUUUUCGUGUUACCAUAACCCUUAGGUUAUUUAAUAUCCUUACCUAAUGUAUAAUUAGGUCACAAGGCUUUCAUUUUUAAUGAAAUCCAUAAAUGUAUGUAUCCAUAUAUAAUACAAAGUUUAAAAAAAAAUGUACAUACAUACAUGGUGACUUAAGAUUCACGGUUAUUACACCAUCUCCUUCUCAUACGAAGAUUACCCUACCGACCACAUCGAACCGCAUGAUGGGGCAUUGGUGAUAACGGCACAGGUCGGGCCGGUGGAUAUGAAAAGGAUGAUGAUUGAUACCGGGUCCUCGGUCGACAUACUGUAUAAGCACACCUAUCAUAGGAUGGAUCUAGAAGGAAAAAAGAUGGAGUUAGGAGGAGAGGGUCCAUUGUAUUCAGUGGGGACCCGGUAUAUGUUUCGGGCACAAUUGAGUUACAUGUCAGGUUCGGCACAACCCCUCAGCAGGCAGAAGUUAUGGUCAGGUUUUUUGUGGUGCAGGUGGACUCGGCAUACAACGCCAUUUUGGGAAGGCCAACGCUAGCAGCACUAAAAGUAGUAACACCCAUACCGCACUUUAAAAUCAAGUUUCCGACACCGAAUGGGAUUGGGAGGUAAAAGGCGAUCUUGACAUUGCCUGAAGGUUCUAUCGAAAUACAUUGAUUUAUUCAAGGAUCAGAGUCAGCAAACAGAAACAGACAAUAGCCAUGAAAUAGAGUCAUUCACUAAGAGCAGUAUCGAACCAAUGGCCCUACUUGCCGAGGAGACUGAAGAUGUAGAGUUAAUCCCCGGCAACACAGAAAAAUUGAUCAAAAUUGGGGCAGGAUUAACAGAACCACUACGGACAGGACUGGUGGACCUGCUUUGGGUGUAUGCUGAUAUCUUUGCUUGGGAGCCUAGCGAUAUGCCAGGGGUGAGUGAGUCGGUAGGUUGCAUACAGACCCGAAGAGAAAACCAGUGAUACAGAAGCGAAGGAUCUUCGCCCCGGAAAGGCAGAGAAUCAUAGACGAAGAGAUCACUAAACUGCUGGAAGCAGGAUUCAUUUUCGAGAUUGACUACCUUGAAUAGCUGGCAAACAUGGUUCUGGUUCAGAAACAGAAUAGAAAGUGGAGGUUAUGCAUCGAUUAUACCGAUCUGAACAAGGCUUGUCCGAAGGAUUUUUACCCUUUGCCUAACAUAGAUCAGUUGAUUGAUGCCACAUCGGGGUACGGCAUGUUGAGCUUCAUGGAUGCUUUCUCGGGAUACCACCAGAUUUUGAUGAAUAAGGAAGACAUCCCGAAGAUAAGCUUCAUCACACAUCGGGCCAUAUAUGCUUAUCAGAAGAUGACUUUCGGAUUACUCAACGCUGGGGCAACUUACCAACGGAUGAUGAACUUUGUAUUCAGAAAGCAGCUAGGCCGAAGCAUGGAGGUAUACGUAGACGACAUGAUCGUGAAAAAUAUGUCAGUUCGAGAUCAUCUGGAGGACCUAGAAGACUACUUCAAAAUGGUAAGAAGACACAAGUUGAGACUGAACCCGACCAAGUGCACCUUCGGUUUGGGCUCAGGGAAGUUUUUGGGUUACGUGGUCAGUAAGAGGGGCAUCGAGGCAAACCCGAAAAAAAUUCAAGCGAUCUUAGACAUGAGAUCUCCGAAAACAUAUAAAGAUGUGCAGAGGUUGACGGGCCGGAUAGCUGCCCUUCGGAGGUUUGUGUCAAGGUCGGCAGAAAGGUGUUUACCCUUCUUUGACACUCUUAAGGGGGCGAAGAACGAGAAAAUUUUCCAGUGGACUUCGAAGUGCGAAGACGCGUUCCAAAGGAUCAAGAAGUAUUUGUCCUCGACACCAUUACUAAUGAAGCCGAUCCCUUCAAAAGCCUUGUACCUUUACCUGGCUGCAGGUCCAAUGGCAGUAGGGCAGCACUGGUACGAGACAAGGGGAGAAAACAGUUCCAACUAUAUUACGUCAACCAUGUUCUUCGGGACACAGAGACAAGGUACCCUAACCUGGAAAAGUUCGCCUAUGCCUUAAUCAUUGCCAGUAGGAAGCUCAGGCACUAUUUCCAAGGUCGGAUGAUAGUGGUGUACACGAAUCAGCCAUUAAAGAAGAUUUUACAUAGGCCGGAGGUGUCGGGUCGAUUAGCCGCAUGGGCGAUGGAAUUAACACAGUUUGCUAUAGAGUUUCAUCCCCGAACGACAAUCAAAGGGCAGGCCUUAGCAGAUUUUGUGGUAGAGUGUUCCUUCACAGAGCCAGACGUGAGCACGGUAACCGAAACCCAAUAGGGGGCGUCCUCUUGGACUCCAUAUGUGGAUGGAUCAUCGACUUCGGACGUCAGCGAAGCAGGGGUCAUUCUGACAAGUCCCGAAGGGUUCAAAGUCCAGUAGGCGAUUCGGUUUCAGUUCAAGGCCACGAACAACGAAGCAGAGUAUGAGGCCAUCCUAGCAGGGAUACGGUUGGCCCAAAGCCUGGAAGUGUAGAAGUUGAUCAUCUACAGUGAUUCGCAGCUGGUGGACAAGCAGUUAUCAGGGGAGUAUGAGGCUCGGGGGGGCAAGAAUGUCAAAAUAUCUGGCCGAAGUGAAACAUAAGCUCAUGUACUUCACAUUGCACAGCUGUCAGGGAGUUUAUCUGUCAGAUAAUACGAUAGUAGAUGCCCUAGCCAGGUUGGGAACCAACGAAGCAAGCUCCUUCAAUGAAUCGGUCUAUCUGGAGGUCUUAGAACGGCCAAGUAUACCGAAGACAGAUGUGUUAGCUCUGGACCGACUUGACUGCUGGCUCACACCUUAUAUCUUCUACUUGGCAGAUGGGAUUCUACCUUCGGACCGAAUCCUAGCGAGAAAAAUCAAACAUCGAAGCUCAAAAUUCGUCCUCAUUGACGGGGAUCUAUACCGAAGGGCUUUCAGUUCUCCCCUACUCAAAUGCUUAACUCCCUCGGAAGCAGACUAUACACUUCGGGAGGUACAUGAAGGGAAUUGUGGGGAUCACAUGGGGGCCAAGUCACUGGCGCACAAGAUUUUGAGGCAGGGAUAUUAUUGGCCGACUAUCUAUACGGAGGCUAAAGAAUUCGUCAGAAAGUGUCCCAAGUGCCAGCUGAAUAACACCAUCCCACACCAGCCCCCCGAAGAGAUGUACUCGGUCUUAUCCCCGAUUCCCUUUGCUGUAUGGGGAAUCGACAUCUUGGGGCCACUGCCGAAGGCCAAGGGACAAUUUAAUUUUGUGAUCAUUGCUAUCGACUAUAUGACGAAGUGGGUCGAAGCUAAGCCUCUACAGAAGAUCACAGAACAAGAAUGCCUAAAGUUUUUCAAGGAAGGAGUUGUUUACCGCUUCGGCAUACCGAUGGCAGUGGUUUCUGAUAAUGGCAGACAGUUUAUGGGGUCAAAGUUCGAAGGUUUUCUGAAAGAGUUGGGAAUUCAACAUCGCAAGACCUCAGUCGCUCAUCCCCAAUCGAAUGGUCAAGUUGAAGUGACCAACCGAACCCUACUCAAUGGGAUUAAAAGGCGUCUAGAAGAGCUAAAGGGUCGGUGACCAGAAGAGCUGCUCAGUGUUUUAUGGGCUUAUCGGACUACACCAAGAACAACCACGGGAGAUUCGCCAUUCAGAUUGGCGUAUGAAACUGAUGCACUUAUACUGGUGGAAAUCGGGUCUCCUACCCUUCGGGUCAGUCAGUACAAGGAGUUAUACAAUGAUGAAGGAUUGAAAACAAAUUUGGAUCUUCUUGAAGAAGUUCAGGAUUUAGCUCUGAUAAGAUUGGCAAUUUACCAGCAGAGAACAGCCCGACACUAUAAUCAUAAGGUGAAAUAAAGGAGGUUUGAAGUGGGUGAUUUGGUCCUCCGGGAGUCGGAGGCAUCAACACCCCAGAACACUGGCAAACUAAUGCCUAACUGAGAGGGACCGUACGAAGUAGUAGAGGUGCCGAAGCCAGAUAUAUACCGGCUUCGAGCAAUGGAUGGUUCAGAAGUAAAGAAUACAUGGCAUGCUGGAAGACUUAGAAAAUUUUACCAGUAAUAGUUAUGUCAUUCUUUUCUUUAUCCAUGUAACCGUUUCAAUCUUAAAUGAAAUAAAUGAAAGUUUUCUUCAAAGAUGUUUAACUUCAUCUAUAUUCAUACAAUUUUUGGUACCCGAUCAGAUAAACAUCGGGCUUAAACCGAUCAGAAAGUCGAAGACAACAUAACUGAUCGAUAAAAGUCGCGGGUAUAACUGAUCGAGAAAACAAUAAAUUUUUCCAUCAGACAAACUUCGGGCAUAAUCCGAUCAGAAGGUUCGGGAAGAUAUAACUGAUCGAGAUAAGCCACGAGUAUAACUGAUCGCAAAAAUUUACAAAUAAAAACUUUUUGUACUUCAUUCAUUCUUUCAAAUUUUUACAAAUCCUGAUCGUAUAUGAUCCGGGCAAAGUACUAAUACAUAAAAAAAAAGAUUAUAGAAGGAAUUUACAAGUCUUCAGGGACAAACUACUCAUGUGGAUUCCCACCUUCGGCCUCUGAUUCAUCAUCGGAAGACUCGAGGAGAGAGGGGUCAAGGCCAGCAGCUAUCAUCUUCGUCCGAGCCUUUUCCCGAUAAGAUUCAUACCCUUCGCCAAAUUGGGCCAUGACCUUAUCGUUCAAGGCAUCGGACUCCUCAUACUCGGCAAUCGCCUGUUGCUUAGCCUCGGAGAGCUUUCCCUGCAAGGCGUCGACUUCAGUGGUUAAGGUGGUGUUUUCUUGCAUCACGUGCAUCAUCUUGGCCAUCAUCUCAGAAAACUUCUCAUGCAGAGCGUCAACAGCCUUCUCCCGAUCCUUGACCUCUUCGGCUAGAUGCUCCUUCUCUUGGAUUAACUUCUUAGCAUGACCCUCGAGGCCGACAAACUCAUGUUGAAGUAGAGAGUAUUGUUCUUUCAGUUCGUCGGCCUGGCGUUCGGCCUGGGUCGCUUUAUUAUGGGUCUCGGCAUGGAGAUCUUUUUCCUUCUUCAGGUCCGAAGUCAGACCACAAAUAUCUGCUUCAAAAAGCUGCACAUCCGUCAUCAACUGAGCCUCCUUUUUGGUAGAUCGGGCAAGAGGCAGAAUGGCUCGGGCCAGGAUGGCGUUGGCCUGCGGUAGAAGGAGUGGGUCAGCCAUGCAGAAUGAAACAUGAAAGUAAUAGCAGAAGAUAACCAAUUUGAGCAUUACCUGACAUUGAGCCCGGACGUAAGCUACCAGGUACUCUUCAGAAGAGAAUCCCUUAAACCGUUCGUCAUCGCCCGAAAGCUUGAAAUGGUCGAACAGGUUAAAUGGGAAUACCUUUGAAGAACUCUUCGGCCAGUAGGUGGUCGGCGAACCGUGAACUGAACUGGGUUUGGAUGAAGGUGUUGAGACGGAUACGGGGUCGACCACAGCAACAGACUGUACGGGAUCCUCAGCAAGCCGUGGUUUCUUGGAUCGGAGUUCGAGAGGAACCUCUUCAGUGUCCUCCGAAUCCUCGAUCACCUCGACUUGAGUAGGAGGUGGAGGAGGAGUCACCUUCGGCGGAAUUGCCGAAGUGACCUUGGCGGGGGCUUUUAUGGAAGGCCUAGAAGGCCUCUUUGCCUUCUUCAACAACGCCAUCUUCUCCGCUCGGCUCAUUGAUAAGUGGGUUUUAUACCUACUUAUUGGACAUCAAUUCACGUGAACUAUGCUCAUCUCAAGUACAUUUUUGUGCGUUUUUAGUUGCAUUUCAUGUUAUUUUGCAUUGCAUGUACUGAAAACUCCUUUGGUGUAAAAAGCUACAGGAUGUGGCAUAAUUUGGUGAUGUUAGAUGGCUGGAUGCUAAUGAAUGCACAACAUGAGGAUAAAGUGGAGCAAGGAAGCCAAGCAUUGAUGGACAAAAGAAUGAGCAGCAUGACAGAAGCAGUAGCAGCAGAACCAGAAUCCAAACUACAGAAGCCGCGCGGCUACACAGGCCAACACACGCGCGCCCGCGCGACCACCCGAGUUGCACAGGAAUUGCAGAGAAAUACUAAGGAGGAGCGCGCGCCCGCGCACGACAUCAGAUGUUGCUGAGUUGUUUUAUUUUAAUUUUUAAUUUUAAGAGUUGUAAUUGAUUAAAAAUAAUUCUGACUGGUGUCAGACGUAUGAUUGAGUAGUUUUUAUGAGUUUUUGAUAUUAGAACUAGGGUUUUUACACUUUGGGAGAUUUCCAACGUAGAACGAAGCCUAAACUUCAUCUUUUCUACUUCUUCUCUUGAUUUUCUAUCAUUGUGGAAAACUACCAUUAUUAUGCUGGAUUUUAAUGCGGAAUUGAAUGUUACUAUUGGAUUAUAAUCAGCAAUUGGGUUUGAUCGAUUCUAUCCCUUAUCUUUCAAUUGUUGGCUUAUUAUUCAUGUUUUGCUUUGAUCCCAUGAUAGCUUUUGGUUCAGUCAUGAACUAAACUCCAUUAUGGGAUUCUAACGGAUUUUAAUAUGUAGUUUAAUUGCAUGCUUGACUGCUGGAUUGUUUAUAUAUCAUAAGGAAUUUCUAUCAUGGUUGAUUUGCAUGCAUGAAUGAUUGAUCACCAUUUGUUUUAAGUGCUUGUAUGGAAUUGAAAAAUAACAUGCGAGUAUGGAUUUUAAUUAUGAUAGCAAGCGUAUAUGGGGCUGUUUUUCAUGGCUUUGUAUUUUGUGAAUCAGAUAUACAUAUAUUGUUUCACCGCAUGAGUUAAAUAAGAGCUUGCACUUAAAUUCAAUAUAGUUGCAAUUUCACAUAGACAUAUAGUGAUUUUGAUUAUAUUGAUGAUUACGUGGUGUCUAUUGCAUGUGGAUGCUAUGUGAGUAGGUCAUAAUACAUUGAAAAAUGGUUAUGUCUAUUUUAGUGCUCUUGGCUACUUUCCUGUGAUAUGUGAACUAUUCUUGCAUGAUGGUGGUAAUUAGAUGAGGUGUUGAAUGAAGUUAGGAUCCCAUUAUUUCCAAAUUUGAUUUAUUUCAUUAUUAUUCUUAUUUUAGUGUUAUUUGAUUUUAAAGUAAUUUUCAAUCAAAAUCAUAAUUAUUAGUUUAAGCAUAUAAAAAUAGUGAUAGAGUUGAUGCAUAAUAAUUUGAUUUAGCAACUUUUCAUGUGGAUCGAUACUCGACUUACUCUGUAUUACUUGUUAACACGUGUAUACUUGCAUGAGUUAGAGCUCUUUUGUUAAAACUAAAAAGAGGCAACACUCAUCUUCAGGGAAUUCUUGGUAGGCGGUUCGAUGGGGUCAACCGAGGGAGGUGGACCCGAUGUGGAGCCGGUAGAAAGUUCAGCGAUCGGUAUGGUCUCCUCUUCACCAUCAUCUUCGAAGAUGGGGAGACGGAUUGGUUCGGCAGCUUUCGGUAGCGGUACUAGGGAGGCAUCUGUACCCUCGGGUUUGAAAAUUGUCACUGCACAAUAGAAAAUGAGUCAGAAAAAUAAGUGAAGUUAUAGGUAUUCGGAGGAGCUUCGGGAUAGUACACUUACACCCGUGUUUGUACAACCAGGCCUCAUUGGAUAAAACAGCCAAACUCCAUUCGGUCUUGCUCCACUUUUUGUAAAAAGCCUUGAAAGCAUCGGCCCGAUCCUUGGGGAACUUGGACACUUUGGCUACGGGAUCCUCGGGAUGGGCCCAAUGAGAAAGAAGUUGGAGGUCGGUUCCCUUGACGAAGAACCACUUGUCGUGCCACCCCUUAUUGCUUGAAGGGGUCUUAAUGAGGACGAAACGGUUGGGUCGUUUAUUUAAUUGUCGAAGGCCAGGCUCCUUCGACCCGCCGACGGUGAAUAAGGUAAAGAAUAAAUCAAGGCCAGGGGUGACCCCCAUCUCCUGGCACAGGGCUAUGAAGGAUAUCAAGUGGAUGUACGAGUUCGGCACAAGCUGUGCAAACCCGACACCCACGAAGCAUAGGAAAGAAGAGAUGAAUUCGUAGAGUGGAAACUGAAUCCCAUACUUUAGCAGAUACAGGGGAACGGCGAUCCACUCACCCUCAGGUCUCCAGAACAUUUUUUCGUCGGGUUUCGGUACCCAAAGCUUGUAUUCUUUGGGGAUAGUGAAAAGGGUUUGGAUGUCAGAGAUUUGGGAGGAGGUAGUGGUGGAAGGGGUGUGGAGAUGGGAAAAUUCCUCUUCGGAGUUGUAGGCGUUUCGGAUCCUAGCCUCGGUACUUAUAGCAGUGGGGGAGGCAGGAGGAGUUGUAGUUGCAGAGGAUGGUGCUGGAAGGUCUACCGGAACCAGAUCGCCGGUAGUGACGGAGGGGGGAGUUGGUUCAGUUGAGGGGGGUGGAAUGCUAGAAUCAGCCAUUUGAUCGAGGAGAAGGAGACGCAAAUGUGAGGUUUUGAGAAGAAAACGAACAAAAAGGAAGUUCAAAAACAUGCAGAGUAGAUAAAAUCGGUGAAGUUUGGGGAAGAAAUGAGCUCGCCGGAAAUCGCCUCGCCGAAAAAUUUGAACAGAGAUUUUUGAAAUGAAGGAGUCUGGAAAGAGUGGCAGUGAUGGUUGAGGUGAGGGUUUUAUAGGAACAACUGCAUGCAACCCAAGGGCGGCUAUUAAAUACCCUAAGUGGGCCCAUGCAUGGAAAGACGUGCAACGUUUCAAGAAACAAGGACAGACCGCUUGGCUUCCCCAGACAACUCAUCAUUAGCUGUCAUAUGAUACAUAUGAUGUUUCUGUUCUUCAGUUUGAUUAAUAGCAAAUCAUUUCCUCAAAAUACAAUUAUUAGUGUAAAUUGUACCUUUUAAGGUAUAAUUUGUAGUUCAAAACUGACCUAAAAUGUGUCAUUUUACACUACUUAUUAUACCCCAAUAGUUGUUUGCUAUAAGCCUAUAUUGUAAAGUGAGUACUAUAUCUCCAUAAAGUGAUAAAUUCGGACAAUUUUGCACUUUAGUCACUUAAUUAUGUAGAAAAUAUAUGCUUCAUGUGUUUUAAUUAGUAGUUUUGUUCGAUUUGUGCUUGACUUGAUUGUUUUGUCUCUAUGAAUUAGGGUUCACGUGGAGCUUAAAGGAGUUGAGUGGAUUUCUCGUGCCCGAGUGCUUGAAAUUGAUAUACGCCAAUUUAAUGGGGAACCAGAGGUGCUGGAUCUUUGGUGGUAUUUCAUUAUAAAUGCAAGACAUUUGAGCAACAUUUAUGAUAAGGAUAAUGA
rnacentral:lncRNA from 1 species